AUUGAACGCUGGCGGCAGGCCUAACACAUGCAAGUCGAGCGGUAGCACAGAGAGCUUGCUCUCGGGUGACGAGCGGCGGACGGGUGGGUAAUGUCUGGGAAACUGCCUGAUGGAGGGGGAUAACUACUGGAAACGGUAGCUAAUACCGCAUAACGUCGCAAGACCAAAGUGGGGGACCUUCGGGCCUCAUGCCAUCAGAUGUGCCCAGAUGGGAUUAGCUAGUAGGUGGGGUAACGGCUCACCUAGGCGACGAUCCCUAGCUGGUCUGAGAGGAUAGCCAGCCACACUGGAACUGGGACACGGUCCAGACUCCUACGGGGGGCAGCAGUGGGGAAUAUUGCACAAUGGGCGCAAGCCUGAUGCAGCCAUGCCGCGUGUGUGAAGAAGGCCUUCGGGUUGUAAAGCACUUUCAGCGGGGAGGAAGGCGGUGAGGUUAAUAACCUCACCGAUUGACGUUACCCGCAGAAGAAGCACCGGCUAACUCCGUGCCAGCCGCCGCUGUAA
rnacentral:rRNA from 1 species